rnacentral:rRNA from 1 species
ACGAUACAGGGUGAUAGUCCCGUACAUGAAAACGCAUUUUAAGUGAAAUCGAGUAGGUCGGAGCACGUGAAACUUUGACUGAAUAUAGGUGGACCAUCAUCUAAGGCUAAAUACUCCCAACUGACCGAUAGUGAACCAGUACCGUGAGGGAAAGGCGAAAAGAACCCCUGUGAGGGGAGUGAAAUAGAACCUGAAACCGUGUACGUACAAGCAGUAGGAGCCCACUUGUUGGGUGACUGCGUACCUUUUGUAUAAUGGGUCAGCGACUUAUAUUUUGUAGCGAGGUUAACCGAAUAGGGUAGCCGUAGGGAAACCGAGUCUUAACUGGGCGACUAGUUGCAAGGUAUAGACCCGAAACCCGGUGAUCUAGCCAUGGGCAGGUUGAAGGUUGAGUAACAUCAACUGGAGGACCGAACCCACUAACGUUGAAAAGUUAGGGGAUGACCUGUGGUUAGGAGUGAAAGGCUAAUCAAACCGGGAGAUAGCUGGUUCUCCCCGAAAUCUAUUUAGGUAGAGCCUCGGACGAAUACUUACGGGGGUAGAGCACUGUUAAGGCUAGGGGGUCAUCCCGACUUACCAACCCUUUGCAAACUCCGAAUACCGUAAAGUAAUAUCCGGGAGACACACGGCGGGUGCUAACGUCCGUCGUGAAGAGGGAAACAACCCAGACCGCCAGCUAAGGUCCCAAAGUCAUAGUUAAGUGGGAAACGAUGUGGAAAGGCCCAGACAGCCAGGAGGUUGGCUUAGAAGCAGCCAUCCUUUAAAGAAAGCGUAAUAGCUCACUGGUCGAGUCGGUCUGCGCGGAAGAUGUAACGGGGCUAAACUAUGCACCGAAGCUGCGGAUUCAGAAUUUAUUCUGAGUGGUAGGGGAGCGUUCUGUAAGCGGUUGAAGGUGUACCGGGAGGUAUGCUGGACGUAUCAGAAGUGCGAAUGCUGACAUGAGUAACGAUAAUGCGGGUGAAAAACCCGCACGCCGGAAGACCAAGGGUUCCUAUCCCAUGUUAAUCAGGGUAGGGUAAGUCGACCCCUAAGGCGAGGCCGAAAGGCGUAGUCGAUGGGAAACGGAUUAAUAUUUCCGUACUUGGUAUAAUUGCGAUGGGGGGACGGAGCAGGCUAAGCAAGCAUGGCGAUGGUAGUCCAUGUGAAAGUGUGUAGGCUAGUGACUUAGGUAAAUCCGGGUUACUGUUAGGCUGAGACACGAGACGAGUCACCAAGGUGAUGAAGUUGCUGAUGCCAUACUUCCAGGAAAAGCCUCUAAGCUUCAGAUUAUACCGAAUCGUACCCCAAACCGACACAGGUGGUCAGGUAGAGAAUACUAAGGCGCUUGAGAGAACUCGGGUGAAGGAACUAGGCAAAAUCGUACCGUAACUUCGGGAGAAGGUACGCCUCUGUUUGUGAUUGGACUUGCUUCAUGAGCGAACGGGGGCCGCAGUGAAAUGGUGGCUGGAACUGUUUAUUAAAAACACAGCACUGUGCUAAAUCGAAAGAUGACGUAUACGGUGUGACGCCUGCCCGGUGCCGGAAGGUUAAUUGAUGGGGUUAUCUUCGGAGAAGCUCUUGAUCGAAGCCCCGGUAAACGGCGGCCGUAACUAUAACGGUCCUAAGGUAGCGAAAUUCCUUGUCGGGUAAGUUCCGACCUGCACGAAUGGCGUAACGAUGGCGGCACUGUCUCCACCCGAGACUCAGUGAAAUUGAAAUUGCGGUUAAGAUGCCGUAUACCCGCGGCUAGACGGAAAGACCCCGUGAACCUUUACUAUAGCUUGGCACUGAACUCUGAAUUUAUUUGUGUAGGAUAGCUGGGAGGCUUUGAAGCGAUGUCGCUAGAUGUUGUGGAGCCAACCUUGAAAUACCAGCCUGAUAACUUUGGGGUUCUAACGUAGGUCCCUUU